rnacentral:lncRNA from 1 species
GCGCGCGCCCGCGGCCCAGGCUGUGAUUGGUGCAGGCCCGGCCCCGGCGCACACCAAGGCCCGGCCGCCGCCGCCGCCGCGCGGCGGACUCCUGCGGCCCGGCCCUUCCCCCGCCCCGGGCCCCGUCCCGCGGCGCGGCCCGCCCGGCGCGGGGACCCGCACAGGUGAGCCGAGGCGUCAGAGCCGGGCCGGCGGGGGGGAGGCUGAGGGGGUGGGCACAAUGGCAGGCGGCUAGGCCGCGCCGCAAGGCCGCGACCGGGGCCUGCCAGCGCCACCGCGGACACCGACGGGCCCGGCCGCGGACACCCGGCGGUGGGUCGGUGAGCUCCGGGCCGCCGCCGGUCGCUGCCGCGCUGGGCGGGAGGGCGCGGGCGUCGCCAGCUAACCCUGCGGGUGAGGGGCCUCUGCGGACGGCCAGAAAAUGGCGGAAAACAAGAUGUCGGCCGGUGGGGCGGGGAAGGCUGCGGCCCCGCGGGCCGUCGCGCCGCCGGGACUGGGGUUAUCCCCGCCUCCCGGCCCGCCGCGGGACACCCGGCUCCUGCGCCGCGGCCGUCGGGCAGGGGAGCUGCGGCCGCGGGACAGCAGCAGCGCGGCGGCGGCGCGGACGGGGCCGCCGCAAGGAGGGGAGGCCGCGGGGGGCGGCGGCCCCUUCCCUGCAGCGGGCGGUGUUCCGCGGCCGCGCCGCCGCCCUGCGCCCUCAGCGGGCUCCUUUGUCUCCGCGCUCCCACCCCUCCCUCCGCCGCCUCCUGCCCGGCGCGGCGGCGCCGCUGCCCGCUUCCCUGCGGCGCGGAGAGGCGCUUCCAGCCGGGGCCGUGGCGCCUGAGCCCGCUGCCGGCCGCCGAGCGGUCCGCGGGCGCGGAGGAUCCGCACCGGGCUGCCCGGCCGGCACCGCGGGCUCGCCCGCCCGCCCCGCCGCCGCGCUCCCGCCGCCCGGGGACGCGCCCGUUCCGCGAGCACGCGCCGGAGGGCUGCGCCGUGCCGUGCCGUGCUCCGCCGCAGCCGCGCAGCCCCAGCGCGGGGCCGGCCCCGCCGUCCCCGGUGGAGCGGCGGGAUCGCGAGUCCGGGCGUCGGAGGCGCGGGCAGCCCCUGCACGGUGCUUCCCGCGGCUGUCGCCCUUCUCCUCCCGCGGUCGCUGUUAUGGGAAGUUCCGUUACGGCUGUGGCUGUAACACGUAGAUGUAAAUUCUAUUUAAUUAAUUUAUUUAAGAGCCUUAAGCGCGUUUCGGGCAGUAAGACACGCUCUCAUGCACUGGUUUUGCCUUUGUCAUUUUAAAUGGAUUUGGAGUGUUAAGUUUUCGUGGCUGCUUUAUAGGCGAACACAAUAAAGGACUUUAAAAUG